rnacentral:rRNA from 1 species
UACGUAGGGUCCGAGCGUUGCCCGGAAUUACUGGGCGUAAAGAGCUCGUAGGUGGUUUGUCGCGUUGUUCGUGAAAACUCACAGCUCAACUGUGGGCGUGCGGGCGAUACGGGCAGACUUGAGUACUGCAGGGGAGACUGGAAUUCCUGGUGUAGCGGUGGAAUGCGCAGAUAUCAGGAGGAACACCGGUGGCGAAGGCGGGUCUCUGGGCAGUAACUGACGCUGAGGAGCGAAAGCGUGGGGAGCGAACAGG